GGCAGAAAGUUUCUCCUACCACAGUCGGCCGAUUAACCAUUUAUGGGUCCAUGGGGACAAAGGAACAAAGGAAUCCUGAAGUUUUGGAAUAUACUUGCCUUGCAUUCCUAAGAGACAAUAAGAAGUUCACUGAGAAGGAUGUUGUUAUGUCUGGAUAUGAUGUGGAACUGCUAAAACACUAUAGCCACAAGAGCACCACAGUGAGGAGAUGAGAAAUGAAAACAUCCUUGUUCCUCAUGACAACACCGAGUGUCAGAUUAAAUAGUCAUGGAGCCACCCUAUCUCUGGACUCCUUGUAUGUUGAGAUUAUAAACUUCCUUAUCAUUUAAGGCAAUUCGAGUUGGUAUUUUCAGCUAUUGGAGUUGAAAGCAUCCUCACUGAUACAUAAUUGUAAAUAAUGGUAUUCUCCAAACUUAGAUGCAUAAUAAGUAAUGAUAUUGUCUAAAUAUACACAG